rnacentral:tRNA from 1 species
GGGCGGUUAGCUCAGGGGUUAGAGCACCCGUUUCACACGCGGGGGGUCAGUGGUUCAAAUCCACUACUGCCCACCA